GAAAUGCGAUAAGUAGUGUGAAUUGCAGAAUUCAGUGAAUCAUCGAAUCUUUGAACGCACAUUGCGCCCCUUGGUAUUCCAUGGGGCAUGCCUGUUCGAGCGUCAUUUGUACCCUCAAGCUCUGCUUGGUGUUGGGUGUUUGUCCCCGUCUCCGCGCGUGGACUCGCCCCAAAGUGAUUGGCAGCCGGCGUACUGGCCCCGGAGCGCAGCACAUGUCGCGCAAACGAGUGCCUUGGUACGGCGGCGUCCAUAAGCCCCUCUCUCACGCUCUUGACCUCGGAUCAGGUAGGGAUACCCGCUGAACUUAAGC
rnacentral:misc_RNA from 1 species